rnacentral:rRNA from 1 species
UACGUAGGGGGCAAGCGUUGUCCGGAAUCAUUGGGCGUAAAGAGCGUGUAGGCGGCCCGGAAAGUCCGAUGUGAAAACUUGAGGCUCAACCUCAAGCUUGCAUUGGAUACUGUCGGGCUUGAAUCUGGAAGAGGAGAGUGGAAUUCCUGGUGUAGCGGUGGAAUGCGCAGAUAUCAGGAGGAACACCAAUGGCGAAGGCAGCUCUCUGGUACAUGAUUGACGCUCAUGCACGAAAGCGUGGGGAGCAAACAGG